rnacentral:lncRNA from 1 species
CAAUCUGUUCAGAACAUGCCCACUGAUUCAGAUACGGAGAGGGAAAAAAACAGCCUGAGAUGGAGGGAAAAAAGAGAGAAAGCAGAAGAGGAGGGAUCUUUCUAACAGGGCGACAGACAAGCGGAGAGAUGCUGGAAACCGGCGGUGCAGUGAACGGAAAACUAAAAUCCGAGACAAUAUAGUGGUGGUAUGUUAUAAUUUACAUAAGCAAAGACAAAAUCAGAGUGUGAACACUUAUCUGGCAUUAUAUAAUUCAGAAUAUAUAAAACCAUGAAAAAUGAAUGAGCAAGAAUGAAACACAGGUCAAAAUCUUUAAUAUCUAGUUUAAGGUCUUGUGGUGUUUUGGAUCGUCACCUCACAGACUCUGAGCUGAAUAAUGACCUUUUUUGUCAGCGUGAUACUAUCAUUUCAGAACCAACUUUGUCUAAUUAUCGUUCAGAUUUGCCUCCACAAGCACGCAUUUGUCAUACAUUGACUUAUCUCUUAUCCCAUAUAUGCCUAUUUUUUUCUUAUCAAGGUUAAGACGCAAGACACAAAUUUUCCAGCUUUCUUUCUCUUCUUAUGGAUUUGACUCAAAGGAGGUGAGGGCAGGGACAUUUCCUGGAUUCAACUGGAGGUCUUUUUAGGGGAUCAAUAUCACGAAAACAAGAAGAAAACAAGGCAAAUAAGAAUCCAUCAACCACUAGAUGAUGUCUGUGUCCUGGAAUGUAAGUAUGGCUUUUAGCUAUUUCAUAUUUAACUUUCCAGAUUUCAUUUUCUUUCUUAUCUUUUAUCAUGUUUCAUAUUUGCUAUACAUGGACAUAUAAGAUGUUCAGAGUUCUGGAUGCAUUUCCACAACAAGGUACAUUUAGGUUUGACAUUCAGAGAUGUAUUUCAGGUUGUCAUUUGUCUGAAAGGAAGCAAAGAGGGACUGCAGCAGCUGAAUGUAUUCCUGAACAUGUAUUUAGUUGUAUGGUGGAGAUUUUUACUCGCGUUUGAUUAUUUAAGAAGUUCUUUUAAGAAGCAGUCUUUGUCAUUACUGAAUCUGUGACCUGACUAUGUGUUCAGUUAUGUUGCUGAUAAUUUCUCAGUUGGUCUCCAGAGUUUAUUUCAACCAACAAAGAAACACCUCUCUAUCUCAGACGUUUAUGAGGGAAACAAAUAUGUGACAGGAGCAGUAAGUAGAUACAAACAUUACAAAAUAUUUACAUCAUUUGUACUAAACCCCUAUAUGUUAGGAUACUACUCAUAAGGUCUGGUGUUUUUUUUUUCUUUAUGUUUUUGUAUUCCUGGGGUGAUUUUUUGUUAGAAAACAAUUUAUAAGGAGGUGUUUUAAGUUGAUAUUGAAAAAAAAAAUCAACUACAUUUUCAUAACUUUGAUAAUCAGCCAUCGAUCGUGUCCUGGUUGCAAAGACACUGUAGGGAAAAGAGUUACGAUGACUCCGAGGCCUCAUAACUUACAGAAUUGUCAAAAGGAUGAUCGCUGAAUUGUCAGAGCCAAUUUACUGUUUUUUAGGAGGCCCAAAAUCCCCGGUGGAUCCCUGCCUGGAGGAUAGGUCACUAAGAUAGAGUUGUAUAAAUGGAGAUGGUCAUUCACUGAUUUACCUAUGUUCUAUGGCCUGUACUCUCUACAUGAUUGGCACACAAAGGUGUAACAUAUCAACAAGUCUUCACUCUAAAAUGUGUAUCAGUGUUAAUUUAGAUGACAAAAAUGAUGAGAGUGAGUGUUGGUUGAUGUGCUUGGUUUUCAUGAUGAACAGAGACAAUGGUGUGAAAUGAUGAAUUAACUGAAAAUAAAAACUGUGAUGAAAUCUCUGUUCUCUGUCAUUUUGCUGCAGCUGUGUUUGUACACAGAUAACAAGUCCACUACUGGUUAGUCUAUCUACAGCUACCACUAUCAGUUUAAUCAUUUCUUUGAAGAGACUUUUUGUAUCUAAGUCUCAGUUUCACUGUUAAUCCUCCAUCUCUGAUGAUCUUUACACCGUUAACUCUGCAGAAUAAGCCACGUUUCAAUCAAGCACAGAGGUCCAGUUAUCCAGAGCAGAUCUUCAGAUUCAUUACAGUCAAUCUUUUUAUUAGUUAUUUAAAGAUCUUAAAAGACGCCUGUUUCAUUCUUCUCUUUGAGUAGUAUAGUAUAGUACAGUAUAGUAAACAGUAUAAAAAUGAGGUAUUUUUCAUGUUUUUAAAAGUUGUGUUUGUUUGUUAAAUGUCUUCUCUCCCAGUUUUAUAUUUUUGUGAGUACUGACGUAGAUUUGCUCUUAUUUUGUGACAGGAAUUUUCAGAUGCUUUAAUUUCAGUGUUUGGUGGGUUGUUUUAAAAGCCUGUCUUUGUUUGAUGGUGAUUAUUUCUGUCUAGUUUUGGUCUUUUUUUUUUCACAAAAAGAUCAAAUAGAGUAAAAAAGACUGAAGUGGUGAUCCCUUUUUCUCUCAGAUAUCUGAUCAAUCAAAUUUGUUUCAAUAUUCACUCUAUAUACAUAUAUAUCUAUGUACAUAUACACUCUGCUGUGAACUGAGUUUUUGUUAAUGGCAGAUCAGCCUCAUUACUGCUGUGUUUUUCACACACACCAUAAUUCCUUUCUAUUUAUAUCUCGGGCCUGUGAUGCCAUGAACAUGUUUUGAAGGGUUUCUAUUCAGUGGGUGACGCUGGUGGCGACAGUCUGCAGCGAUUGGUCCACGUGGGUCAUCCAACCUAUAUAACACGAUAAACUCCCAGUGUUUUUAAAAUAGCCUGGUGACGAACGUUUGUACCAAAAUGUUGUUUUCAAAAAUUUUCCACAAAUGCAAAUGUUGUACCCUGACUUCACUCCUCUAAAAGAAAAUCGGCGUGCUGUUGUCGCAUGCAAAAUCUUUCUCGUGUCUUUCAUCACUGUCUUUCACAGAGCAUUUCAUCCUCAAAUUGCUGUCAAAAACAAAGGCAGAGUGCCAAAAGUGUAACCUUGGAUGAAAAAAAUCCUCCUGACCUUCAAAAGAGAGCCUGGACUGAUGAUAAAAACAUAAAAACAGUCUUUGUGUUCAAAUAGACAAACGAAUGUGGACAGGUGAGGAUGUUUAUUGGCUGGGACAGACUGUCCAAAGCUGCCGAAGGACUUUUGGCGUAAACAACAUUUGCAUGGUGGUUCUUCCUCUGCAGGAAUACUGAUUACUUCAUUAUAGAGACAGAUAUUUAUUCAAUCUCAGCUUUUUCACCCUCACACAUACAGAUGAGUUUACACCCGCAGAAACCCACAUUACUAGAUUACUGUUGUCUUUCUCAGGGUGUUCCACCGCAGUAACGAUGUUGUGGUUUUGUGGGGGGGAGAAAGCGCACCCAGCCAUCCCAGCGAUUUCAAGUCAUGGCGGUCUCAUUACAGCAGGCUGUUGGUAAUCCUCUGCCUUUGAAGUGGGAGCUGAAGGGAGCUGUGUUUUACUGUAGUUCAAACAAUGUUCUCGCUGCUCCCUCAGCACCUCCACCACCAGGAGCCCAGUGGAGGCUGAGGAGCCACAAACCAACGACGACAGAGAGAGAAAGGGAGAAUGGAGGGGAGGAGGAGGAGGAGGAGGAGAGAGGAGGAGGAGGGGGUGGGGGUGGAUUCACUGGUUUGUUUUUCCAGCUGAAUGCAGGUGACACAGAAACACAGAUGAAGGUUUGUGGGGAGUGUGGGAGUCAUUGUGAGGUUAACUAGGAGGAGAUUUGUUCCAUGGGGGAGACUCAACAAUAGGCUCGGAUGGAGCGAUUCAAGUCAACUGAGAAUAUUUUAUUCAUGCCCCGAGGGAGGAUAGAAGACAGGCGAGACCACAAGAGACCAGAACAGAGGAUCAUACAUACACAUGAAGGAGACAAAAUAUGGAACAACGGCUUGAUUAUCAUACAAAACUCUUGGCAUUUAUCAGAUAAUAUUACACAGCUUUGUUGAGGGCUGGAUUUUGAUUGGCCGAGUACUGAAUUUUGUCUGCUUUUGUCUUAACUCUGUUUAUUACACAGAUGCUUCAAACCAGACUGUGUAUAAUGUGACGUCACCUACCAGUUUCUGCGCUGGAAUUUUGAAGCCUAUAAGUGGAGACACCAUGCUGGAAACGCUGACUCAACUUAAUCCAUGGUCAACCUACCAUGAGAAGAAGAGGCAGGCCUUCAGCCUCCUCACUAACAUCUACAAUGAGUGCACUUGUCAGUCAGAGCAGCUGUGGCUCUAAUUCACCAAGUUCAUGAUCUUAAUUUGAUUUUUUAAUGGCCAAGCUUUUGACAUAUUUACUUUGAAUUUUCCAAAUGUGGUUUCUGGUUCUUCUGCCGUUAGCCCCAUGUGGACGCUUGAGAAACUGCACCUUUUAGCAGGUCCACUUAAGCUUUAUUCCUCAAGCCUGGAGGUUGCUGCUCACAUCAUAUCAUAUAUACAGCAUUCUGAGGUCUGUUUUUUCCCCUUGGGAAUUACUGAUAUCAGAUUUUCUCGCCCUGAUUAUCGCUGCCAUAAAAUAUUGUUACAACAAUAUUUUGUGAUAGUUAUGUAAAACUUACAAAUAUGACAACACAAGCUGUCAGACUGAGGAAAGGUAAGACAAGGGUGGAGCAACCCAUCACUUCAUAAAGCCACAAUUACCCUGACAUGUCAUCAUCCACAUCAUCAGCCCUGUGAAACUUACUGUCUG